rnacentral:rRNA from 1 species
AGUGAACGCUGGCGGUAGGCCUAACACAUGCAAGUCGAACGGCAGCACAGUAAGAGCUUGCCCUUACGGGUGGCGAGUGGCGGACGGGUGAGGAAUACAUCGGAAUCUACUUUUUCGUGGGGGAUAACGUAGGGAAACUUACGCUAAUACCGCAUACGACCUACGGGUGAAAUCAGGGGAUCUUCGGACCUUGCGCGAUUGAAUGAGCCGAUGUCGGAUUAGCUAGUUGGCGGGGUAAAGGCCCACCAAGGCGACGAUCCGUAGCUGGUCUGAGAGGAUGAUCAGCCACACUGGAACUGAGACACGGUCCAGACUCCUACGGGAGGCAGCAGUGGGGAAUAUUGGACAAUGGGCGAAAGCCUGAUCCAGCCAUACCGCGUGGGUGAAGAAGGCCUUCGGGUUGUAAAGCCCUUUUGUUGGGAAAGAAAAGCAGCAGGUUAAUACCCCGCUGUUCUGACGGUACCCAAAGAAUAAGCACCGGCUAACUUCGUG